GUGAGCCAAUUACGACUACUUUGAAACGAAAACAAGAGGCAGUUUCAGCAACCAUCAUUCAACGUGCUUAUAAAAAUUACCGCUUGAGGCGAAAUGACAAAAAUACAUCAGAUAUUCAUAUGAUAGAUGGUGACAGAGAUGUUCAUGCUACUAAAGAAGGUGCCUAUUUUGACAAAGCUAAGGAAAAGUCACCUAUUCAAAGCCA
rnacentral:lncRNA from 1 species